rnacentral:lncRNA from 1 species
GGGGAGAUCGUGUCCACCCCCAAGUUGCAGUAUUAUGAUAAGGUUUUACGUCUGCUAGACGUUGUUGGAUUGCCUGAGCUGGUUAUUCAGCUCGCUACAUCAGCAAUUACUGAAGCGGGUGAUGACUGGAAAAGUCAGGCUACUUUAAGAACAUGCAUUUUCAAACAUCAUUUGGACUUGGGUCACAAUAGCCAAGCAUAUGAGGCCUUAACCCAAAUUCCUGACUCCAGCAGGCAGUUAGACUGUUUGCGGCAGCUGGUGGUCGUUCUUUGUGAACGCUCCCAACUGCAGGAUCUUGUAGAGUUUCCCUAUGUGAAUCUGCAUAAUGAAGUAAGUAACUUGUCCACUGUGGUCUAGUAACGAGUCUCUUGGCUGCCAUGAUUGCUACUGACUUCAACAUCUUUUGUUAGGUUGUGGGAAUCAUUGAGUCGCGUGCCAGAGCUGUGGACCUUAUGACUCACAAUUACUAUGAACUCCUCUAUGCUUUUCACAUUUACCGCCAUAACUACCGAAAAGCUGGUACAGUGAUGUUUGAAUAUGGUAUGCGUCUUGGCAGAGAGGUUCGAACUCUCGGGGGACUUGAGAAGCAAGGCAACUGUUACCUGGCUGCUAUUAAUUGUUUACGGCUUAUUCGUCCAGAGUAUGCGUGGAUUGUACAGCCAGCCUCUGGGGCAGUGUCUGAUCGCCCUGGAGCAUCUCCUAAGAG